rnacentral:lncRNA from 1 species
UUAAAUUUGGAUUCAUCAGGACUUAGUGCUGUGGAAAGGCAUAUGUGUCCAAAAAAUGUGCAUAAGCCCAAGGUACUUUGGAAGGAUAUUCUAACAGGACAAUGGAAAGGUCCUGACCCAGUAAUUGUCUGGAGUCUGUGUGUUUCCACAGGGAGAACAGCAGCCAAUUUGGAUUCCAGAGAGAUUAACUAAAGUGAUUUCUAUAGACCAAAAAGAAGAUGAUUUGGCUCAAAUCCAUACAUAACAGCUGAUAUCCAAAACUCCAAUUUGGCUAUCCUUACAUCUGUGACAGAACCAGGAUGCUUUUUUCAAUAUCUAUUUUAAUAUUGCCCUUUCCCACAUCAUGAAGUUCUAUUUUGUUUUUUGAGCUCAUACAGACCUAGGUUAAUGUUUUACUGAUCAGUUCUAUUUUUUGACUAUAGAGUUUUUAAACAUUGCAAUGGAGAUUUCACCUGUAAAAAGUUAUAGGCCUUUACUAUUAUGUUAUGUGUUGUAUGUAUUAUAUUAUGUGUGCACACUUGUGUUUUGUGUUAUAUAUUUGAAUGUACGUAUGUCCAUAUAUCAUAUAUGAUGAGCACUCAUGAAAAAAUGGAUCCAAAUAUUUUUUUUUAUUCACGUGAUUUAAAUGGUUUAAUUUAAAUUGGGUAAACAACUGUUGAGGAUUGUUUUAAAAUGUGAACAAUAAAGGAGGUUAACAGA